rnacentral:rRNA from 1 species
CCUACGGGUGGCAGCAGUGAGGAAUAUUGGUCAAUGGUCGCGAGCCUGAACCAGCCAAGUCGCGUGAAGGAUGACUGCCCUACGUAUUGUAAACUUCUUUUAUAAAAGAAUAAAGUGAGGGACGCGUCCCUUUUUGAGUGUACUUUAUGAAUAAGGAUCGGCUAACUCCGUGCCAGCAGCCGCGGUAAUACGGAGGAUCCGAGCGUUAUCCGGAUUUAUUGGGUUUAAAGGGAGCGUAGAUGGGUUGUUAAGUCAGUUGUGAAAGUUUGAGGCUCAACGGUAAAAUUGCAAUUGAUACUGGCAGCCUUGAGUACAGUUGGGGUAGGCGGAAUGCGUGGUGUAUCGGUGAAAUGCUUAGAGAUCACGAAGAA